GAUCUCUUGAAACAACAGAAUGUUUAAUAAAGAUUUUUAACUUUCCUAAUAGUAAAAUUACAAUUAUUACUAAACAUACCUACAUACACUUUCUACAUCUAAUUUUGUUUAUUGAUCACAUUCAUUUACUUGAAAAAGUAUCAGGCCUAUGAAUCGUCGUCUGCUAACCACACACCAACCUUCAUUGCGUGUGAUGG